rnacentral:rRNA from 1 species
GCUUAACACAUACAAGUCGAGGGGCAGCAUGGUCUUAGCUUGCUAAGACUGAUGGCGACCGGCGCACGGGUGAGUAACACGUAUCCAACCUGCCGUCUACUCUUGGACAGCCUUCUGAAAGGAAGAUUAAUACAAGAUGGCAUCAUGAGUCCGCAUGUUCACAUGAUUAAAGGUAUUCCAGUAGACGAUGGGGAUGCGUUCCAUUAGAUAGUAGGCGGGGUAACGGCCCACCUAGUCUUCGAUGGAUAGGGGUUCUGAGAGGAAGGUCCCCCACAUUGGAACUGAGACACGGUCCAAACUCCUACGGGAGGCAGCAGUGAGGAAUAUUGGUCAAUGGGCGAGAGCCUGAACCAGCCAAGUAGCGUGAAGGAUGACUGCCCUAUGGGUUGUAAACUUCUUUUAUAAAGGAAUAAAGUCGGGUAUGGAUACCCGUUUGCAUGUACUUUAUGAAUAAGGAUCGGCUAACUCCGUGCCAGCAGCCGCGGUAAUACGGAGGAUCCGAGCGUUAUCCGGAUUUAUUGGGUUUAAAGGGAGCGUAGAUGGAUGUUUAAGUCAGUUGUGAAAGUUUGCGGCUCAACCGUAAAAUUGCAGUUGAUACUGGAUAUCUUGAGUGCAGUUGAGGCAGGCGGAAUUCGUGGUGUAGCGGUGAAAUGCUUAGAUAUCACGAAGAACUCCGAUUGCGAAGGCAGCCUGCUAAGCUGCAACUGACAUUGAGGCUCGAAAGUGUGGGUAUCAAACAGGAUUAGAUACCCUGGUAGUCCACACGGUAAACGAUGAAUACUCGCUGUUUGCGAUAUACGGCAAGCGGCCAAGCGAAAGCGUUAAGUAUUCCACCUGGGGAGUACGCCGGCAACGGUGAAACUCAAAGGAAUUGACGGGGGCCCGCACAAGCGGAGGAACAUGUGGUUUAAUUCGAUGAUACGCGAGGAACCUUACCCGGGCUUAAAUUGCAGAUGAAUUACGGUGAAAGCCGUAAGCCGCAAGGCAUCUGUGAAGGUGCUGCAUGGUUGUCGUCAGCUCGUGCCGUGAGGUGUCGGCUUAAGUGCCAUAACGAGCGCAACCCUUGUUGUCAGUUACUAACAGGUUCCGCUGAGGACUCUGACAAGACUGCCAUCGUAAGAUGUGAGGAAGGUGGGGAUGACGUCAAAUCAGCACGGCCCUUACGUCCGGGGCUACACACGUGUCACAAUGGGGGGUACAGAGGGCCGCUACCACGCGAGUGGAUGCCAAUCCCAAAAACCUCUCUCAGUUCGGACUGGAGUCUGCAACCCGACUCCACGAAGCUGGAUUCGCUAGUAAUCGCGCAUCAGCCACGGCGCGGUGAAUACGUUCCCGGGCCUUGUACACACCGCCCGUCAAGCCAUGGGAGCCGGGGGUACCUGAAGUGCGUAACCGCGAGGAGCGCCCUAGGGUAAAACUGGUGACUGGGGCUAAGUCAUAACAA